CUGGAAGGCACUGUCCCGCUCCCCCGGAGCCCGGCCAGGGGGCAUCUGGAAGGCCCAGCGCACACCAAAGGGUCCGGCCGGGCACAGCUUGAGCGGCACUGGGCUGGCAGGCAGUGGCCGCAGCUGCGGACACUCAGGACCGGGCGCUGGGCGUGGGGGCGGGGGUGCGUGCGUGGGCCCGGCCCCUGCGCGCAGCAAGUUCUCGAUCAGGAAACUCUUGCCCAGACUGCCAAAGCCGGGCGCAGGAAGGCCGAAGAGUGCUGAGGACGCCACCACAUCCCAGUAGGCUCCGGCCUGGGCGGCCACAGCGCUGGGCAGCAUGGUGCGCGCCCGCUGCCCGGGGAGCCGUGGAGAGCGAGUGCGAAGGGACAGGGACAGGGCGCGGACAGGAUCGGGGCUGAGGGUCAUCUCGCCAGGAUGAGAAGUGGAGUCUUGAAAAAGCACUUGGGAGCCUCUUCUUCCUCUCUUGGAUUCCUGUACUUUCUGGUAGAAGAAGACAAGAGCAAAGCUGACCUAUCUCCAGACCCCGACUGACGAUAGCUCCACGAGUUAGCAGCACAUCCCAGAGCAACGGAUCCAACCAAUAGACCCACACAAUUACUGUUUAAAACUGGAGAG
rnacentral:lncRNA from 1 species